GGAUUUAGCUCAGUGGUAGAGCACUUGCCUAGCAAGCACAAGGCCCUGGGUUCAGUCCCCAGCUCCG
rnacentral:tRNA from 1 species